rnacentral:lncRNA from 1 species
GGUCUGUGAACAGUGGAAACAACCGACACUUACUGCGCUUGUUUAAGCGCUGCUGCUUCCAUUUUUUUAUUUUUUUUUAAAAAGGUUAAGAACCGGGGUAAGCACCCCGGUUAAUGGUGGCCUAAGAGCAUCAGACAUGAUUAACCCAGACUCUUAAUUUGAGGUUUUUAACUCAUGAUUUGACAUUUUUUGUUUUAUUUUUUUUAUUUUUUUUACACUUUUCGGCUAAGAACCGGCUCUUAUAGCAUGAUUAUCCCAUAAACCCAUUUGGGGUUCUUAAUUUUUU